rnacentral:pre_miRNA from 1 species
UGGACGGCUCAAUUUGAUGGUGUGAGAGGUUGAAGCUGCCAGCAUGAUCUGAUCACCGUCCAACGUAACCGAACACAUGUCGAUCGACUUCCGAUUGCGCCGGUUAUCUUGGUAGGAAUAUAUAUAUAUGAGCUUCCAUUGCAAGGGUUCUUCAGAUCAUGUUGCAGCUUCACUCUCUCAUCACCACCGAAAGAUCCAAAUUAA